rnacentral:rRNA from 1 species
UACAGAGGUCUCAAGCGUUGUUCGGAUUCAUUGGGCGUAAAGGGUGCGUAGGUGGCGGGGUAAGUCAGGUGUGAAAUCUCGGGGCUCAACCCCGAAACUGCACUUGAUACUGCCUUGCUCGAGUACUGGAGAGGAGAUUGGAAUUUACGGUGUAGCAGUGAAAUGCGUAGAUAUCGUGAAGAAGGCCUGUGGCGAAAGCAAGAUUCUGGGUGACGACUGACACUGAGGCACGAAAGCCAGGGGAGCAAACGGG